AUGGCCGCCGCGUCGUUCGCGCUCGCGCUUGUGCUCUACCUCGGCCUCGACCUCCCCGAGGCGUCGCCGUCGCAGUCCUAUGCCGCCGACCCGGACACCGCUGUCGAGAUUUCCUACGGAUCAGUGAUCAAGUUGAUGCAUGAGAGGACCAAGUUUCGGCUGCAUUCCCACGACGUGCCGUAUGGAUCUGGUAGCGGCCAGCAAUCGGUCACCAGCUUCCCCAAUGUGGAUGACGCUAACAGCUACUGGAUUGUGAGACCUCAACCGGAUACUUCAGCAAAACAAGGUCAUGCUAUAACACCUGGAACAAUCGUCAGGCUUCAACAUAUGAGGACUAGAAAGUGGUUGCACAGCCAUCUGCAUGCUUCUCCCAUUACGGGGAAUCUGGAGGUUAGUUGCUUUGGUGGUGAGGGUGAGUCAGAUACAGGAGACUAUUGGAUGCUCGAGAUUGAGGGCGGUGGGAAAACAUGGCGUCAAAACCAACGAAUUCGGUUGCGCCAUGUUGACACUGGUGGCUAUCUGCACAGCCAUGACAGAAAGUAUACCCGCAUUGCAGGCGGACAGCAAGAGGUAUGCGGUGUUGGCGACAAGCGACCCGACAAUGUCUGGCUUGCAGCUGAAGGUGUCUACUUCCCCGUGAGCCAGGCCAAAUAG
rnacentral:rRNA from 1 species